UUAUGACCAAUUUGAUGAAAAUACUAAGUAACGAACCUUUGUCGUCCCUUUAUAAAGUAACAAUGGUCAAUACAUUGUCAACUCAACAAUCUACAUUAAACAUUAAUGAUUUGUAUGGAACUCUCACUCCAAUCAAAACAUGAAUGUCACAACUCUUCAUCUUGGAUGCAAAAUGCUGAAAUUUAAACUUAACAUAUUGCAAAUAAUGAUAAUGAAAACAAGAGCAUUAAAAU
rnacentral:lncRNA from 1 species